rnacentral:rRNA from 1 species
GAUGAACGCUGGCGGCGUGCCUAAUACAUGCAAGUCGAGCGAACAGACGAGGAGCUUGCUCCUCUGACGUUAGCGGCGGACGGGUGAGUAACACGUGGAUAACCUACCUAUAAGACUGGGAUAACUUCGGGAAACCGGAGCUAAUACCGGAUAAUAUAUUGAACCGCAUGGUUCAAUAGUGAAAGACGGUUUUGCUGUCACUUAUAGAUGGAUCCGCGCCGCAUUAGCUAGUUGGUAAGGUAACGGCUUACCAAGGCAACGAUGCGUAGCCGACCUGAGAGGGUGAUCAGCCACACUGGAACUGAGACACGGUCCAGACUCCUACGGGAGGCAGCAGUAGGGAAUCUUCCGCAAUGGGCGAAAGCUUGACGGAGCAACGCCGCGUGAGUGAUGAAGGUCUUUGGAUCGUAAAACUCUGUUAUUAGGGAAGAACAAAUGUGUAAGUAACUAUGCACGUCUUGACGGUACCUAAUCAGAAAGCCACGGCUAACUACGU